rnacentral:lncRNA from 1 species
UAAGGCAGGGCGAGGCGGCGGCUGCCAGAAAGUUGCAAUAAGCAACCAUGAAACCUUUGUUUAUGGCUCUCUAUAGUUGGUUCUUAGAUGAAAUAUUAAACAUCUCCAGUGAUUGCUUGCAGGUCAAACCGUCAAAGUAUCUUUAGUCUCCGUGGUAAUUUUGUGUUAUGUCUCGUGGUACUGUUCUCAUAUGUUGUGUUGAUCCUGCCUCAUGAAUUUAGGGGCAUCCUAUGUAAAAAGUUAUAGCGUGGAAAUGGUUGAUGAAUACUUGUCAUGUGUUGUUACUUGUCAGGCCUCGAGGCUUAUGGCAGAUGUGUCCAUUAGAUCGGGCGUUGCCAUCUUGGUGAAUAGCCACGAGCAAUAUCCCCGCAAUUACGGCUGAUAUGACAACUCUACCACACUUAGUUUCUUCCUUUUCAAGAUUUGUUAAAUGCGCUUCACUUGAGAGUUACGUUGCAUAACGGCAUCUCUAAGAGACCCACAAAAAUUAGGUAUAUGUACACAUUUGUUCACUAUUGCAAUCCAAUGAGGACCAGUCAGCGAAGCAGUCCGGACGUCUCCGUGGUCUAUAUCUCUUUUCUUUCUCUUCACAUGCAUGACUCCCCUCUCCUCUCUCUCUUCCCAACAAGACACCAUACCUUAAAUAGCCAUCAUAUGUAUGGUCCUCAUCUACAUUUUUUUCUCCCAGCCGGAUACUUUGUAAUCAGCGUUGGAUGGUUCUCUCUCAUAUCAUGUUCGUGGACCAUGCCUGGACACAAAAACAGAUAUAUACCAAAGAAAUUUACGGGUCGGUGUUGGAGAUGACCUAAGGAAAUAAAAUGAAGCAAGCAAAAAAGGAAGAUUUUGACGUCAACAGGGUUUCCCAUGAGGCCCGGACUAAGAGGACUAUACCACUACAAUGCAUCGAGAAAUAAGAGAUCUAGUAACUCCCGGGCGUCCUCAGCGAUUUGGAUUCCUGGCCGUUGGAUCUGGCUGCUUGAUGCGAUUUGGGCCAUUGGAUCUUCCUCAGAAAUCACCUCAGCCGUCGGAUCAGAUUGAAAUACUAUUGCAAUGAAUAGUAUUAGAACUAGGAUGCCACCGCAUGUAAUCCCCAGAGCCCGCCGAAGGCAUUUUCGUCACUUCACGUGGUUGGAAAAGUCCCCAAUAGUGUGGAGAGUGAGCACCGGGUCAUUGCCCUCCACCUCCCACCUGGUCUCCUCUCUUCCCGCCUCCUCCCACGAAACCCUAGCCGCCGCGCCGUGCAGCCGCCGCCGCCGCGCCCUCCUCCUCCUUCCACCUCCUGGCCGGCGCCCAACCACCGCGCCCUCUCCCUCCCCCUACCGCCGGCCUCUCCCUAGGUGGUGGCCAGAUCUGCCACGGCCACAGCCACGAUGGGGGCUUCUGGAUCCGCGCCGCCGUCGAGCUGGGCGCGACCAAUAACCUCGGACCACACCGCCGCCACCAUGGAUGCACCAUAUCAAGGUCUCCUCCCUCGUCCCCUAUGCUUCUUCUUCUUCUUCUUCUUCUCCUUCUCUCUCUCUCUCUCUCUCUCUCUCCCUCUCUCUCUCUCUCUCAAUCCCUGAUGUGUUUCGAUUUGGUAGGCUUGGUUCCCUCCCUGAUCAUGAUGCGUGUAGACGCAUGCACAAGUUAGGUCUUGUGAUCUGUUUCAAGAACAGCUGCUGCUGCUAGCCUUGUAGUUAGUUAUAUCCUGUUCGUAUGUAUGAUGUGUACCCGGUGCUUCGUAGGUAGUGUGUGUAACGAGCUUUUGUUGUCAUGUACCUUUGGCUGGACCAUUGCACUGGUUAUGUAGAUAUAUCCUUUUGAAGUUCUUAUAUCCCGGUGCACGAAAACCACACAGGCCUUUAGAAUAUGUACGUGAAUUGUUUGACUAUGGUCACCUGACCACUACGUGGAUGGUUGGUCCUUCUGCCAUUAGGCAGGAUAUCUUUUGUUUUUCUCUACGAACUGCAGGUGCUUGAAAUAAGUCAGCUGGUAGCCAGUUCUUCAAUAAGAACAACUGAGACAGAUUUGAAACAUGUUUUAGACGUUUCAGAGGUGGUAUAUAGCAGUUCAUUGUCCGUGUAUAUUUUACUGAGACUACAAAUAAAUUUUAAAGCUACUGAUUUAGGCUGAGUAAGCAAAACAUAUAAACAGGAAUAAAGUAAAUUAUUCUUUUAGCAAAUCAGAGUGAGCUUUAUUGAUCCAGGGAUUGUCUAUAGGAAUUGCAAGAAAAUCAUGAGGAAUUUUUUUCAGGUCGCAAUGGCUGACAAAGAGCUUCACGUUCAUGGUUCACCAGGUUCUGCUGGCUCCACUAACAGUUGCCUGCAAGCACUUGCACAGGUCAGCUGAGAUACGUCUUGCACACCUACGAGUUGAUUCUUCUAGGGAUCUAAUUUUCUAAACGAACUUUCAGUUGCAAUGCACAAAUAUGUUGCUAGAUGAGGUUUAGAACUUAGUUGGCAGAAGCUAUUUUAAGAUUAGUAUAUUGUAGUAUUUCUCUAAGGGAAUUCUGUGAAUAUUUGGUCAUUGCCAACAAAUCUAAAAUAGAAUGGAAGUGAUUGUUUGGAAUGGAUAUUACUCUGCUGCUCAUGUCUGUUACUUUUCUUGCAUACAAUAUUUUGCUUACAUGUUUACUAAUAAACUUCUGUGAGGACCCCUGCUGGAGACAUACGGAGUUGAGGAAUAAUGCAAGUGAAUGGAGCUUGUUGAGUUGUUGUUCGCCUGAUCAUACGUGAUACGUCGAGUGUGAACUACCCAUUCUCCCCUCUCCUACAGUCUGUAACAAAAGCGUUAGGCCUGAGUGUGCGAGUCUGUGAGAGUAGAUGGUAGGUCAUUGGAUAUAAAAGGGGCCUUUAGUAGUCCAUUUAUCUUUCCAGAAUGAAGUUGGAAGAGCACGAGCUCCUCUGCUCCACCCUUCGGAUCCCUUCCUCUGUAGUAUUUAGUUUCUUUGUUAUACGUUGUAUUUAGUUAGUACUUUUCAGAUGGCUUAACUCCCUUUCUCUGUAGUAAUUGGAGCCCAUAAGUGGAGGUGUUUGUUCCUCAUAUGCAACCUUAUUAUCUGAUAUAUAGAUUGGGAAACACAGCAGGAGUUUGAGUUUAUUUUCAUUCAGUAGAACACAACAACAGUAGUAGACUCCCGUAAAAACCAGCAGUCGAACUGAACUAGAAUACUGUGUGUAUUUUAGCUUAAGCAAUCUAGGAUUCACUCCUGGAUGUUAGAGCAACAUAUUUCAAAAUGUAAUUAAUUAAUGUUGCUUCCCACAAAGUAUAUUUCUUUUGUUUCAAUAAGCAUUAUGCACAACUCGAUGCUUGGUGCGACGUCGGAGUUCAUCUUAUUAUAUGAAUAUAGUGGUUGGCAUGCUCAAUUCGUCCUCAUUGGCAUCUGAACCUGAGGCUCCUGACUUACUCAAAUGUUCUCCGGUCAUUUCCCCCUCUCCUACAAAUGUGAUCAAUUUGGCAUGGGUAUGCGUACAGUUGGAAUGAGGCACCAUGGGAAGGAUUCAAAUCUCUGAGAAGUGUGCUAAAUCAAUAGUGCCAAUCGGUUCAGUUUCAGCUUCGAAAACAUUAGGUGAUUGAAAAUGGCAUGCUAUAUUUCUGCAACAAGGCUCCCUAAAUAUUCCCUAUGUUCUAAACUGGAUUCUGACAAGGGUAAAGAUAUGUGAGACAUCCCUCAUUUUAUUUUAAGACCAUUACUUUUUUACCUACCUCUCCUCAUAUAAUCUCUAACAUGGACGGCUCUCUAUUCUCUGUGGUUUAAGGUGUACACCCUGCUAUUUGGUCAGAAGUUCGGGAGUUCAUACUUGGUUGUUUGAUCUCAAGAACACCUUUGAUGACCACGAGCAAAUUGGGCGAACCAGAAGGUACUCGACUCAUUCUAUGCUUUUCUUGACUGCAAUUUCCAUCAAGUAAAUAUAUGAUGUAUUCACACUCCAUUAUAAUCAAUAAUUGCCUUACUGUAAAGGACUCAUUCAUUUUGCGUCCAUUAAUCUUGAACUAUAGAUUAAAUCUUUUUGCUGCAUGUUAAGUUAUGUGUGAAAGGAUGAUUAAUAUGAGGCACACAUUCUUUGUUUUAUGGAUAAUACAUUAACUGCUGCAUGUAUAUCAUCACAAGCAAAAAAUGUGUAUUUUUGAACUUUUUUCCUAAAAAAUAUAUUUUCUUAUGUUCUUGUGUAUUUACGUAUGAUGAGUGUGGGAGGGCUUAUGGCUUUUAUGGUGACGAGUCACGAUUGUCGCUGAUCUCUACUGCCGGUAAUUUAUUUUACACGGUCACCAUCCCAUCUCUUGUUGUUAUGUAUGGUCCAAGUAAAAGAGGCUUUUCCUGCAUUGUUUAUUUGUAUUAGAUGACCAGUACAGGAAGUUGUAGUAGCUUCCCCGUCCUUUUUUAAUGUAAAUGAUGGUAAGCACGAGUUAGGUUCUAUGUCGACCGGCUGUGCAUAUUAUCACAGCAUGUGCUAUGUUGGAUCGUAUCGAUUUUACUGAUGUAGUACAUGAUUUUAUAGUUUUUUACUAGCACAUAUAUAUACAUUUAUUAUUCUUUAUACAAAAAUAAACAUAUGUUGAAAUCUACAGAUAAAUGGAAGUAUGCACCUCUUGCUUACUAAUAUAGGAUGCUAUUUGCGUAUCUGACCAACUUCGAUUUAAUUUCUGCAUGUUCUUACCUUGGUGACCUUAGUGCACAACCUUAUACACUAAUGGGAAGGAAAUAUAAUACAUAAAAAUCUGUGAAAGACCUGGUGGACAAUAAUUUAGCAUGCUUUGUUGUGACAUUUUAGUCGCCUUCUGCUUUAUUGUGACUCUUUCUAUUCAUCCAUUUAGGUACUUCUAGGACACGGACAAUUUCCCUCAAGGUCAAGACCUCACAUCAACCCUUCCAAGCCCCUGAUGAGUGUGUUCCUUUUUUUUAAGUUUCUCAAUGUCACCUCUAUAGGUUUACUUGAGAUGUUAUGUUGCAUAUGUUGUGCUGAGGUUUUCCCACUUCCCUUUUAACUUCUCUGAAGUUGAUCAUCACAUGUUUAUGCAAUUGGACCAAAGCAACGACAUUACUUACAGCUUACCUGGUUAACAUAACAGUUAUGAACUAGGAUGAACUUAUACAUGCAGAGAGAGAGAGAGAGAGGUUGUUUAAAGAAUCCGGUGUCUUUGUGUUUGCCUACAGAAUUCAAUAUUUGUUCAUGUGGUGAUCCUCGGCCUCUCUCUCUCUCUCUCUCUCUCUCUCUCUAUGUGUGUGUGUGUGUGUGUCCUGACUCUUUGUGCCUGUGUUGACCCUUUGUUUGUCCAUGCGAUUUUACUGUGGACUACUCUUUCUAAUUUGGCAUAUAGAUAGGUCAUUUUUAGAUAUUCUAUAGGGUGAUUACUGUUGUUGCAGCGCUGGAUGGCAUGUAGCAGUGCUAGAUCCGGUGGUCAGCCGUCGCCGUUGCCUGUCCUCUUUGAUGCGAGAUCCACGCUGCUCCACUCAGUCCAGGUUCACCCNNNNNNNNNNNNNNNNNNNNNNNNNNNNNNNNNNNNNNNNNNNNNNNNNNNNNNNNNNNNNNNNNNNNNNNNNNNNNNNNNNNNNNNNNNNNNNNNNNNNNNNNNNNNNNNNNNNNNNNNNNNNNNNNNNNNNNNNNNNNNNNNNNNNNNNNNNNNNNNNNNNNNNNNNNNNNNNNNNNNNNNNNNNNNNNNNNNNNNNNNNNNNNCCUCUCUCUCUCUCUCUCUCUCUCUGACCGCUGCUACAUCCAUCAUUUUGGCUUGCAGGCUGCUGGCAUCAUGGAGCUUGAUAAGGUUUCCGGCUGGUUCGCCACAUAACUUGCAGUCCAGGUCGUUAACAUAUUCGGGUUCUAGGUCACAGAAACAAAAUUUGGAGUUAUUUUAUCUGGCUCAAAAUGUUUUGGCUCAGCAAUUUGCUGCAUUAGAUAUCUUUUUGUGCUUAUUUUUUUUGUGAAUUCUACAAUUUGUAGCAUUGAGCUAAACUGACGUUUGUUUUAGUUAACUUACAUUCCUAGAUGUUUUUAAACUGAUAUUAUUUCCAUAAGUUCAGGUUUGUACUUGGCUUUAUCAGAAUUAGAAUAUGCAGAACAUGUGUUGGAGAAGUGCCCAUUUGGUUUUAUGAAAUAAUAUUCAUGUUGAUUGCAUUUUGUUAUAGGAACGCGCAAAGAAACUAAUGUUUGAUCAUGUCGUUGACGGGCUCUGUUAUGAUAAUUCUUUGACAAAGUGGUCACAUUCCACAUGAAGAACCUGUAGUACCAUGUUUUACCAUCUCUAUCGCCACUUUGUUUGGCUUUUGCUUUCUUUUUUUUUCCUGCUCUUAGUACUCGCCCCCUCAUGUUGUACAAGUGAAUGUUUGUUCUUUCUAUUGAACUAAAAAAUCUGAAUAUAUGAGCUGAACCAUGCUUCCUACAAACUUGAUUAUUACCUGCUUGAGAAUAUCGUUGGGACCGGCACCCCGCGCCAAGGCGCGGUACCAAUCUAGUAAUGAAAAUAGGGUAUCAUGAUCAAAGUUUCACUUGCCUUGCCUUGUAUUGACGAAGUUCCUUCAUUCUCACAAUCUUGGUAGUGUUACUCUACGCUCUUCGAAUAAUCUAUCGUACCAAAAGAGAACAAUUCAUGUGAAAUUAUGCGGGGAUAUUGCUCGUGGCUAUUCGAAUAAUUGCGGGGAUAUUGCUCAUGGCUAUUGCGGGGAUACAAGAAAUGAAACAAACAACAUAACUAGGUUGGGUGUAUGGUUUAGGUGUUGAUAGUGUUGCGAGAUUAUGUGUGAAGGUAUUAACUCAAAAGAAUUGAUGGAAUUUGAGAAACAACAUAUAAGUUGUUUAUUGGAUUGCAAGACAUAAGGGUUCAAUUUGAGUUGUAGUGGAUUGAGGUUUCAAUUCAAGUUCAAAUGAAUCAAGGAAAUUUGAUAUUUAGCAUUUCAAUAUGAAUUAUGUGAUGCAAAAGGUUCAUUGCUUAACAUGCAAAAGGACUCAUUGCAACCGGAUUAAUGAUUUAUGAACUAUGAUCAAACAAGUUCAUAUUCAUAUUUGAAUGACCUCAAUUGAAUUCAAAAGUUUUAGUUAAAUAUGAAUCCAUCAUUUGACAUAAAGAUUAAUGUUUGAAAUUCCAAUGAAGUUGAGUUCAUAAUUCAAAGUUAUGUUUGAAUUCAAAUUUGAAAUAAUUCAAACUUGGCAAAAUGAAUUUGGUCCGAACAUGGUUCAAACAUCACAUGGCCAUCGAAUUAAGAACGAUAACAUGACUUAUAGGUUCUCGUGCAAUUAUGGAACAUGUGACAAAAACAGGUCACUUGACUCAGUUUGUCUCGAAAUGCCUCCUCCUCAAAACCUUAAGGAGCUGUGUUCGCUUCAAGGGCGCCUGGCAUACAUUAGGCGAUUCACUGAAAGACCACUCUUUCGUCUAAGGAUGCCUAACCGCCGUACCGAUCAUUCGGGAGGGGGGGGGGAGGGAGGGGGGCACUGCGAGGUGGGUAGUUUAUCUGGGGCGGAUGCCUCCUCAUGUUGGCAUCUUUCAACCUUUCGGAUAACUUCUCUCCAUACUAACCAAGAAGAGCAGGGCGGUUUUACUACCAUUAGCGAGUAGUUCCCUCUCCAUUUUGCAAUGAUCUUUGCAGAGGACAAAGGUACUAGAGAUAUUUCCUCACGUGUGUGGCCCAGCCCAUAAGGGCCAUGCAGACUUGACGUCAUCCCCACCUUCCUCCAUUACACUGGCAGUCCCUCGUGGCACCUUUUUUUUGUUUCGGAGCGGGGCACAUACUAUUACCACUAGGUUCGACACCAUUUUCUAGCCGCAUAAAUACCGACUUAAAAAGGGGCGACUCCCGCCUGUGCUUAAGUUGUUUCAAGCUUGUAAAGACUCGCGAUCGGAAUAUUGACCUGGUUUUCUUUCAGCUGAAACUCUACCUAAUGGUUCAGAUUCCGCAGGUCAAUUGGUUUGGCUAGAAUAGUUUCACGUAUCUCGAAUGGGGACUUGGGUAAUUGGUUUCUAGUUUCUACUAUAUCCUGCAAAGUAAAUGGAAGUUUCUAGCGUUUUGCUCCCUUUAUUCCAUAAUUUGGAGUUAAACUUACUAUUUUGAACUUCCCAAGCCAAUCUUGGCUCAAGACUCAUAAGUGUUUCUGACUUCUAAAUAUUAUUUCUGUUUACUUUGAAUCAGCCUACGUCGUCUCUCUUCCAGAACCUCACAAUCAUCGAAUUUCUCUCAUCCAUUAUAAUGAGAAUUUCUCUUUGUUUAGCAAUAACUUAAUCUUGCAAUAAAACACUCUUGCUUGGAAGGUAUGGUAAAGGUAAACUUUUUCUAUUUUUUGAUAUGAAAUUCAAUUACUUGAAGAGUGAUAUUUUCACAGUGCCAGAUUGGAAUUGGUAUCGGAAUCUUGGUUGGUAGAAGGAAGCUCGGGUAUUGCUUAUUGUUGAAAGCACUCAUUUGCGGCAUUAGGAUUCUAAGAUUUAGGAGGGGAAGGCUGAGGGGAGGGAUCACAUGCAUUGAAGCAAUCUCAAGAUUCAAAAACGAUCAAAAUAAUGGUACGGGGAGAAGAAAGAGAGGAGAGUCACGAAAAUCCCAAGGAAAACCAAAGAAGAAGAAAGCCCUGGUAUUCUCUACUUGAAUUCACGAAGAUUUAGAUACCGAAAGUUCCGGCUCGUGAGUUGAAAGCACUCGUUUGUUCUGGCUCGUGAUGUGUCGGCUCGGGGUUAUCGAAAAGCAAAAGUUCUAUCUCCCCUAUCCAUAGAUUUGAGGAUAGCGAGGCAUACCAACGGCCAAAUGAUUAUAAGCUUGAGGACCCAUUCUAUCCGGGCUUGAUCAUCAUUUAAAUCAAUUCACAAAAUGAUUCAUUUGAUCUGGACUUGUGAUUUCAAUUAUAUGCUCAAUAGUCUUUGAAUAUAAAUUCAAAUAAUUUGAAUUUGCAAGGAUUUAAACUUAGGUGAGACAUGUUCUAAAAGUGUGUUUUGAAUUUUCUGAACAAAAAGCAAAAGGAGUUUUCAAAUUUGGAGCCAUAGACUAAAAGUUAUGAUAAAUUUAAAUGAUUUUGAAUUGGUUACAUGGCAAUGAAAUUGGUUGCCAUGGCAACAUUUCUGAAACCUCUGACAUGGCAGCAAAAAUGGUUGCCAUGGCAACAACUUUUGCUAUUUACUAAAUUUUAUUAGUUCAACUGAAUUUGUGCAAAUUUGACUUUUAGUAGACCUAAUUGAAUAUUCAUUACAUAAGGAUCAAUCUACAAAAAGAUGCACUCAAAUUGAUAUUAUUUUGCAUUUUAGCCCCUAAAAGAUUCAUAUUCAAUCUGCAAUGUGAAAAUUAUUUGCUUCUCAUGAAUAAAGAAUUCAUGAGGUCAGUAUGCAAAGAGAAUCACCUCAUUUUGAGUUGUAUUUAAAAAGUUAUAAGAAGUUGCGGAGGCCUUCCUUCAAAAGUUACAGAUAUUAAAUCGGCAGAAAAUAAAUUAAAGGAAAAAAUUAGAGACACAUGUUGUGCCUUGAUUGGUAGAUACCCAUUCGGCAUGUGAUAUAUAAUACAACAGUUGGAUUUAGAUGAAUUUGGAUGGUCCAAAUCAACCGAUACCCCUUCGAGUCAUAAAUGACAUGGCGUCUUCUAAUUGGUUCAUAUCGGUUCUAAGAUCUAAUCUCAUGCGUGUGUGCAUGAUCAAACGGCUGAGAGAGAUAGAGAUCUCACCACGGUGGCUAGGAUGCCAAACAUGGGUGUGACAACGACCGUGACACAAUUGUGCUCUUUCACUUUUUUUUGAAAGCGCACCCGUGCUUUGUCCUUUUUGGUAAGCACGGCUGUGCUUCUCGUGAAAGCACAGACUAUGUUUUUCAUUUUUGGAAGCACAAUUUUUGAUGAGGACAUGAAUACCUUGGAUAUGACCAAAAAUAUUGUAUAUAUGCAUAUUUGUCAGGUGAUUUCUAGUACAAACUAUUCAAUAAUCUAUUUAUGUUAUCUAGAACAAAAAUACGUCACACACUUUUGUGUUUUGUCUAAUUGCAAGUGUAUAGGACAUUUGUACAAUCCACAUAUGAAGAUAAGGAAGAAAGAGAUGUUUAUUUGUUGUUCAAAAAGUUCUCUCAUGUCACUUUUGGCCCAAGAGAAGAUAGAUUCCAAGUCUCUCACGUUCUGGUUUCAGAUUUGGACUGCACAGACAUACCUGACUCAAAACGCCCACAACUUUUUAAUACGGACUCCGAAUUGGGUGAUUCUUUUUUUGUUGGAAACUACAUUUCGUGUACUUUCCAACCCAAUUGGAAUCCCCUUCAAAUUCGUCCGGAGAGUUGAGCUAUGGACGAAACAAUCUGAUGCUGCAGCAGAAUCCGAGUCAAACUACAAGUCCAAAGGUGUUACAUCACCUCCACUUGGGCCCAUUGGCCUUGUACGACCUAGGGUUAGUUUUAGGCUGCCUUGGGACAUCCUCCCACCUCCUUGGCCGCCACCCCUUGCUUCUAUAUAAGUAGAUCCAUCUAGUAGCUUUUCCCUUGGGAUUUGUUUAGUUAAAAGUUAGCCAUUGCAACUUCGUGAACUUCGUUUGUGUCCAACGACCAGACCAAGACCGCUUACGGAUUCCCACCUUUAUCAAUACUUCAUAUAUACUCACAAUAUUCAGAUUGCUUUUAUCAUAUUCUUGCUUGUUCUUUGAUUGCUUGCAGGAAUAGACCUUUGUGGUCAGGUUGAUUGUGCUCCGGCGUGGUCAAUAACCUCUCGGAGUUGGUUUAGCGAUUGCUAAGGCGCAACGUCAUGCACGUUUGUAGUCGGAUCGUCAAAGUCGUCUCCACCAAAUCGAUAGUUAUCAUCUCAUCGAAAGAUCGGGACACCCCGCCUCUAUCAAGUGGUAUCAGUUUUCAGGUUGCUCGGUGAGAUUUUACAGUUUUUCAUAGUUUAGAUCGCAUCUGUCAUUCAUACCUACAGUCCAUGAAAAAGGCACAGAAAAAAGUUAGAUCUGUUCAUCCUUUAUCCAAGUCAGUCUGAAUCUUUGCAAUUUUCUAUUCAUUGCUUGCAUAGUUGAAUUAUCGGUUGCAUCGUCGUGUCAGUUGCUGGUCUUAGUGUCUAGUUCCUUUAGAGUUUCGAGUUCUGUUCACAUUAGUCACGCCGCCGCUGCAUCAUUAUCCCUUCCACUGUCCACCAUCCCAUCCAUUAAUUUCCACCACGUGCUACGCACUGUUCAUUGUCAUAAUCAUAGUUGAGGUCAUUCACAUCUUCGCCUGAUCUAGUCUGCAUCUUAUCUAGUUUGUCUUGGAAAGAGGGAGAAAAAAAGAUAGAGACAAGAAUGAGAGAAAAAAGGAAAAAAAGAAAAAGAGAGAGAAGAAAAAGAAAAAAAAAGCGUGAGAAAAAAAGAGAGAAGAAAAAAAAGUCGGAUCUAUCUAGAAUCAAUCUCGUACCUGAAUUCGGAUUGGAAUCUGUUUUGCGCACUGUUCAGUAAAACAGGUGUAUCUUCCUCAUACGAAGUUCGUUUUGGCUCGUGAGUACUCAAAUUGAAGCUAGAGACGAGCCGCAUCUAAAUAGUUGCAGAAUCUAGUUCAAUAUUUGACACCUCAAAAUCGGCUUCUAAAUAGGUCUUUUUGUCCUCUGAAGUUCGUGAACACAGCUUGUUCCAAUUUUUCAGGCUAGUUUUAGAAUUCUUUGACUCCUCAUAUCAACUCGGAAUUGAGUGAUUCUUUUUGCAUUGGAAAGCUUGAGUUAGUAUCAUUCUUUGAAAGAAUUUAUAAGAAAAUUGGCUCAAACUUUUCAAGAGGAAAGUUGGAGAGAGAGUUGUUGUAUGUCUUGCUUGGCAGUUGUUUUUCAUCAUUAUCUUCACUACCGUUGUGAUCUUCACUUAUAUCUUGCUGUCAAGAGCUACUUAGUAUCCUUCAUUGAUGCUAGUUGUGCUACACCGUGACCUCAUUAGUGUUCUAGGCUCGCGUCUCUAGUUCGGUCUAGCCUAGGACCAGCACAGUACCGUCGUUGAGCGUUUAUUCAACAUUGCAUCUCUGAAUUGAUUAUUGCUAAUCUUUUGCUACCAUAUAUAGCCAACCCAGCUCCACAUAUUUCUACACCAUGUAUACGUACGUUCCCCUGGCAAUCGCUUUACAUAGUCUUCGGAGUUAUUUGACAUCGCUGGUUGCGUGUCACCACCUGCCGCAUGGUAAGAACUUGUAAGAUAUUGAUAUUUUCUUUACUGUGAGCACUUUACAACCACAUCCUAGUAGUUCAUAGGAACAUUAUUUUCGAAUUUUGUUUCUUGUUUCUACUAAUCAUGACAGGUUCCGGAGAUAGAAGUUCUUGGACGACGGACAUAUCUUCACCAUCACGAGAGUUGGGACAACACACACAAGCACAUGGUCAGGUUAUCUCUUUACCGUCAUUUGAGGGUAGAUUUAAUCCUGCUAUUUAUCUAGCUUGGGAGUUUGAAGUAGAACAAGUUUUUAGUAACCAUGAUUUUUCUGAACUUGAGAGAGUACGAGCUGCCACUAGAGCAUUUACUGGCUUUGCUUCUGUUUGGUGGAGUGUGCAUUGUAAGAAAAAUAUUGAUAAUCAACCCACAAAUUGGAAAGUUUUGAAACCUGUAAUGAGACAACAAUUUUUUCCUCCUUACUAUCAUCGUGAAUUGCUUCGCAAAUUGGAACAAUUAAAACAAGGCAGUAACACCGUUCAUGCUUACUACCAAGAGUUCAAAUAUUAUAUGCAUCAUUGUGACAUAGAAGAAUCUGAGGAUGAUACAAUGAAUAGAUUUUUUGGUGGUUUGAACCAUGAUAUCCGUGCAAGAUUUCACUAUAUUCCUCGUUGCAUUACUGGCAUGUAUGUUCGCGCUUGUACCUUUGAGAGACAGAUACAGGAGGAUGCAUUGGGUGACUACAACAACUACUAUUCUAGUUCAUGCUCACCACCACCGGUUGGUUCCUCCAUCGUUGCACCUACUAGAGCAGCCCCACCUCAGAUUGUGAGCGCGACAUCAUCUCAAGUGUAUGGUGCAUUGUCAACGCCCGUACCUACAUCAGCUACGUAUUUGCGACAAGGUAAGAGUAAAGGUAUUGAUGAUAUAACUUCACAUGAGAAUGAUGCAUCCCUAGUUAAGUUGAAUGCAUCAUGUGUUGAGUUACCUGGUGAUUUGAGCACAUCACCUAUUUUAGAGAAUCUUGAUACGUUAUGACUGUGUCAUGUGAUCAAACAACUGAAAUACCAACAAUUUUGAGUGCACCCAUUGAAUUAACUGUUGAUGCAAAAGAAUCAAUGAUUAACCAUUUUGAUAUGAUCUCUAAUCUUGGUGAUGAUUUUGUGUCGAAUGACUCAUUGUAUGUUUUCUUAUCUAAGCAUGUUGUAGCAUGUAAAUUUGAUUAAAAUAAGGUUUAUUCAUCAAUGUUGGGAUGAUUUAAUGAUGAACAUUGUCAAUCUUUUGAAAUGAAUAAGAGCUUCACUUAUAUGUGCAAACUGAGUUGCAAUAUUUUCAUGCCUUCUAGUUCUUGUGCUAAUUUGUUGGCUUUAGGUUUUAUGAACUAUGCAAGUUACUCAUCUAUUCAUGUGUCAUAUAUGCAAAAAUCAAGGGAAGUAAAAAUGGAUGACAUAUACAUAUACAACAUGUACACCUUGUCUCUUUUGUUAGCCACAUUUCAGAUUAAGCAACGCCGAGGACGGCUUUAUUUUCAAGAAGGGGAGGAUGAUGAGGACAUGAAUACCUUGGAUAUGACCAAAAAUAUUGCAUAUAUGCAUAUUUGUCAGGUGAUUUCUAGUACAAACUAUUCAAUAAUCUAUUUAUGUUAUCCAGAACAAAAAUACUUCACACACUUUUGUGUUUUGUCUAAUUGCAGGUGUAUGGGACAUUUGUACAAUCCACAUAUGAAGAUAAGGAAGAAAGAGAUGUUUAUUUGCUGUUCAAAAAGUUCUCUCAUGUCACUUUUGGCCCAAGAGAAGAUAGAGUCUAAGUCUCUCAUGUUCUGGUUUCAGAUUUGGACUGCACAGACAUACCUGACUCAAAACGCCCACAACUUUUUCAUACGGACUCCGAAUUGGGUGAUUCUUUUUUUUGUUGGAAACUAGAUUUCGUGCACUUUCCAACCCAAUUGGAAUCACCUUCAAAUUCGUCCGGAGAGUUGAGUUAUGGACGAAACAAUCUGAUGCUGCAGCAGAAUCCGAGUCAAACUACAAGUCCAAAGGUGUUACAUCACCUCCACUUGGGCCCAUUGGCCUUGUAUGACCUAGGGUUAGUUUUAGGCUGCCUUGGGACGUCCUCCCACCUCCUUGGCCGCCACCCCUUGCUCCUAUAUAAGUAGAUCCAUCUAGUAGCUUUUCCCUUGGGAUUUGUUUAGUUAAAAGUUAGCCAUUGCAACUUCGUGUACUUCGUUUGUGUCCAACGACCAGACCAAGACCGCUUACGGAUCCCUACCUUUAUCAAUACUUCAUAUAUACUCACAAUAUUCAGAUUGCUUUUAUCAUAUUCUUGCUUGUUCUUCGAUUGCUUGCAGGAAUAGACCUUCGUGGUCAGGUUGAUUGUGCUCCGGCGUGGUCAAUAACCUCUCGAAGUUGGUUUAGCGAUUGCUAAGGCGCAACGUCGUGCACAUUUGUAGUCGGAUCGUCAAAGUCGUCUCCACCAAAUCGAUAGUUAUCAUCUCAUCGAAAGAUCGGGACACCCCGCCUCUAUCAAGAUUUUUGGUCAUAUCCAAGGUAUUCAUGUCUUCAUCAAUUUUGCUUCAUGAUAAUCACAUUAUUGUGCUUCUCGUGGAAGCACAUAUGUGUUUCUCAUAGAAAAGUAUCGCUUCCUCAAAAAAGUAUCCUCCAAAACCCAAGGAUAACCAGGCAAAAACCAAAAAACCAUAAAAACCCAAAAUUCGAUCUAAAUCCCGAAACGUGUACAUAAAAUUAAAAAUAAAAUGGUAUUCAUAGAGAGCGUCCAACACGUGACACAUGGCGACAACUAAGGAUGGCAAUGGGUAGAGUAUGGGCAUGAUAGAGCAAUACCAUACCCAUACCCAUAUAGUCAGUGUGUACAAAAUUCUACCCAUACACAUACCCAUGGGUAUGAAACUUUACCCAUACCCAUACCCGACGGGUACUAGUACCCAUUGUGUCCCCAGUGGGUAGAACAAAUAGUACACAAGUUGUUCACAAUUUUAAGCUCAUUGAUAGCACGUUUGACAAAAAAUCAAUUAUCUCAGCUCAAUAAUAGGUAGAUCAGUAAAUGAACACUAUCAAAAUAUAGAAAUCACAACAUACUCUGAAGUGAAUAGGAGUAGAGGAGUAACAUGAAAAAUUAGUGACUAAUUGAUGACAACUUAAUAUUAGUUCAGAAACGGACAAGAUAUGGGUAUACCCGCGGAUACAAGGCUAUACCCGUACCCUAUCCAUGACUUAACAGGUAGGGUAUGAGUACUACCCAUGGGUAUAAAAGUAUACCCAUAUUCUGCCCAUGCGGGUACGAUACCCGCAGGUACCUGUACCCACGGGUGCACCAUUUGACAUGUUCCCUAACAAAAAAAAAUGACCCUUACGGAAGCUCCCCAAGGGGUAACUGUUAGUUAGUUGCUCCCAAAGAAAUCAGGAUCGAUCCCUCCCAGGAAAUGAUGAGGACAUCAAUACCAUUGUUACACCCACAGCCCCUGCUGCUAUACAUACUGGACCAAUUACUAGAGCUCGCGCACGCCAACUAAAUUACCAGGUACUUUCGUUUCUUGGUAAUGAUUCUAAUGUUCAUGAGAAUAUGAUGCUGCCUAAAUUGGAUACAUUUGUUUUGCUUACAAAUGAAGGUCCUAGCUUGGAGAAGGAUGAACAUUGGAGCAAGAACAAGCAUGGAGAUGAUGGCAUGCGCAAGGGGAACAAGAACAGAGUUACAAGUGAUGAUUUCAGGUCUUUGAAGCCACCAUAACGAGUGCAUGAAGCCUUGGACGAAAUAUACAAGAUGUCACUUCAUAAAUUUCGUCCAGAGACUAUUAUAGGUGCUGCGUCACCUUUUUAUUGGGCCAGGCCCAUGUAAUUUCGAAAUACAUAAGUAUAGGCUAUUUUUAGAGUCCGUAUGUGUGGGGAAACAAGAGAUAGGGUUGAUUUCGGACCCCUCCACCAAGGGCCACGAAAUUCCCCCUCUCUUCCUCCAUAUAUACAGCCCUUAGGGCACCGUUUAGACUUUGGGUUUUGUUUAGAUUAAAGUUUGCCAUAGCUGCAACUUCGCGUACUUCGUUUGUGUUCAACGACCAAACAAAGGCGUCACAGAACCCCACCUUGAUCAAUAAAGCUUUCAUCUUAUAUUCGCAAUAUCCAGAUUGCAAUCUUAGUUUCUUGCUUGUUCUUCGUUUGCUCGCAGGAAACAGACCCUCGUGGUCAGGUUGAUCGUGCUCCGGCGUGGUCAAUAACCUCUCGCAGUUGGUUUAGCGAUUGCUAAGGCGCGACGUCCUCGCAUGUUCGUAGUCGGAUCGUCAAAGUCGACUUCCACCAAAGCGAUAUCCAUCAUCUCAUCGAAAGACGGGACACCUUUGCCUCUAUCAAGUGGUAUCAAAUUUCCAGGUUGCUCGGUGAGAUUUUACAGUUUUUCGUAGUUUAGAUCGAGUCUGUUCUUCAUACCUACAGUCCACGAAAAAGCCACACACAAAAAAUUAGGGUUAGUUCAUCAUAUCCGAACCAAUCUGAGCCUUUGCAUAAUCUUUUUAGGGUUUUGCUUUGUUGAAUUUGCGGUUGCAUCGUCGUGUCUAGUUGCUGGUCUUAGAGUCUAGUCUUUUAGAGUUUCGAGUUCUGGUCAUAAGUUGUCACGCCGCCGCCGCACCAUCAUCAUCGCCCCUGCCAUCUACCACCACCGCUUAUCCGCCACCGCUUCGAAUCCGUAUCCAUAUACCACCACAGCUGUCAUAUACCACCACCGCUGCCAUCUACCACCAUAUAUCCACCACCAAUCUGAGUUCUUGUCAUAUUAGGUUUGUUUUCGAGAUCCAUCUAGAUUCCGAUUCGUGUUUCCUUGCCGGAGUAGGUUUCGGGAAAAAAAAGAGUCCGGAAACCACCCUCUGUUUAGGCCCAAAAUUUUUCGAAAACGCAUUUUUCGAAAAAAUUUCUGGCUAUCCUAUUUUUAGGUGUUUCUGAGUGUUUUGAGACAGGUGCCAUUAUAGGAAGUUUUUUUUGACCCGUUUCCAGUUUUUGGGUCCGGGCAGUUGAAAAAAAAAUUGGUCGAAAAAAUUUCGUGCCCAUCCUGUCAGUUUGACCUAGGAAGAGUUUUGAGACACUCGCCAUUAUAGUGAUUUUUCGCAAAAAAAAACAGCACAAAAAAAAACA